AUUUAUAGAUAAUAACAAAUUGAUUUUUAUCUUUAAAAUAAUGGAAAGAAAAAUUCGAACAAAGCUGUAACAGUAAUGGCAUCACAAAAGAAACAUCGUACUUUUGAUCUUCAAACGAAAAUGACUGUUACACGCCAAUGAUCAUUCCUGUAUAUUUUUCUGACACGUGUACACUGUGUUUAGUUUACUCAAACGUAGAGUGAACGUGUUCAAUAUUAUUGUCAAAUUAACUAUCAAUGUGUUUUUUUGUUUCUUAAAUAAAUGAACUCCGUGUUAACAUCAUGUGAAAACAUCUACGCAUGGAUUGAUCAGAACUUUUCAAUUCGUCAAACAAUCCUAGCUCUCUGUCCCUUGUAUUAAUAUAAA